UACGUAGGGUGCAAGCGUUAAUCGGAAUUACUGGGCGUAAAGCGUGCGCAGGCGGUUUUGUAAGUCAGAUGUGAAAUCCCCGGGCUUAACCUGGGAACUGCGUUUGAAACUACAAGGCUAGAGUGUGACAGAGGGGGGUGGAAUUCCACGUGUAGCAGUGAAAUUCGUAGAUAUCGGGAGGAACACCAGUGGCGAAGGCGGCGACCUGGGCCAAUACUGACGCUGAGGUGCGAAAGCGUGGGGAGCAAACAGG
rnacentral:rRNA from 1 species